UUCACAACCUCAAAAUAGCAAAGACUGAAACAACAACAGAUUGCUGCAUUGACCAGCGCUUGUGAGCGAGAGGGUAUGAGAUAGCUCAGCUUUGGUUUAAAAGAGUUCAAAAAUAUUUGUUAUUGACCAUAACUUAUGGAGAAAAACAGAGCAGACAUUAGACAUGGAUGAAGCUUAGCUGGCUUUCACACUGGGCUCAUGUGCUGUGGUUCGAACCCGAGUGCGAUUGUUCCCGGCACCCCCCGCAGUGAUUAAGGUCUAUAAGGGAAUACACUGAGCUUUAAAAGGGAAGACACAAACAAUAUGGCAAAAAUGCUCGUGUUUCCUGAUUAAAAUGCUUGCAUUUAUGUCUACAAUGUGUUAAGAGAAAUAGCGUGCACACACACAUCCUGUAAGAUGAUAUGUACCACAUCCUGUGUCAACAAUAGGAAGUGCAUUGAUGUGGUUAGAAAAAAACAAGCAUAAUUGUAGAUUGAAGUGUCAAUGUGCAUGAGCACCUCACUUACUUCAUCUGUAAGAAGAGGACUUUUGUAGCUCUUUGGGGUGCUUCCUUUCAUCUGAGAAAGAACACACAGACAUUUUGAGGAACAGCAUGAAGAGGAAACCAGCACUUUAGACUGCAGUCUCAAGAUACAACUGACACCUGAGAUAUUUGAGACAGCAUACACAGAUGAAAGAUAGGAGUGUGUUUCAUGUGAUAUUGGAAUAUUCUACCAGGAGGUCCACACCCAAAAGUUAAAGACAGAUCUGAGGUCAGAACUCUCGUCAGGGCUUGAUAGCUGAAUCGACACAAGUGUCUUGUCCCACAGACAUUAUCCUGAGACAUACAAGAAAGAAAAUGUAUGCAGUUGUUACUCUGCAAGACUCAGAUGAGGUGGCGGUGGCACCAACAAACUGGCUGAGCCUAGACAAGAAACAAUGUUACUGGCCGCCAUUCAAAUCACCAGACAAGUGCAUGGAAGCUGUUCAGAACAGAAUUAAACCUGAAACAGGAGGGAAACCAUGGGAGAAACUAAACAUUAGCUUUCACAGAGAAUAUUUCACUUUUGAGAAGUCAAAAGAGGAGCAACAAGAAAUGAAAGAACGGAAAGAACGGUCAUAUCUAUUAUCCACUGGAUUCCCUGGAAUGCUAAAAAGACAAAGACUUGAAAGCACUCAAGAAAUGUUAAAACAACAACUUCCUCCUGCACCAUCUGCAUCUACAUCCAGAAUGUCAGCUGAUGACAAGGAUGAGCUUCUCCAAAUGCUGAGAGAGAUCAAGAGCACAGUUCAGGAAAACUCUGCUAUGUUAAAGAAACUACUAAAAGACAGUAUGGUUUCUGAAGCACCCAGCAGUACAAGCGUGCCUUCAAAAAACAUUAAAGCAAACCUAAAACUGCCUCUUAGAACCUUUGAAGAUGUGGCCAGGACUGAAAUGGAGCUCAAGAACACAACAACACGCAAAAAAUAUGUAAAAGUUUUGUCAGGGCUUGGAGGUUUUGGCCCCAAGGAUGUGAUUAAGAAUAUUAUGCAGCAAGUCCUAACAGAUGAUCUGGCUAAGGAGUUCAACUGGCAGGGGAGAGGAGAUAAAAGAGCCUUCUCUCACCUUUGUCUAACAGAUGUGAUCAGAGAUGCUGCAUUCAAACGAAGUGUAAACAGGGCUGACUGUGAAACUGAAAUAAAAAAAUAUUUGAGUUACACAGCUGAUCGACUCAGUCGGAAGAGACCAAGAGAACAAGGAGGUCCUGUGCACGAGAAUCCAAAUGUGAUUUCUACCUCACUGAUGGACAACCAGCCAGAGAUGAAUAUACUCUACAAUUUAGAUUUUUGAGUUUUUGAUCAUCAAUCAUAGGUCAUGAAGACCCACUUUCAAAUUAAGCAAUUUUAUUUAAUUUUUUUACAUUUAUUUCUCUUUGACAUUACUUAAUGAAUUGUCAUGUUUUCAGUCAUAUGCCAGCAGUGGGAUUUGCAUGCAUGUCUGAUCCAAUAACUAAAAGAUUAUAUANNNNNNNNNNNNNNNNNNNNNNNNNNNNNNNNNNNNNNNNNNNNNNNNNNNNNNNNNNNNNNNNNNNNNNNNNNNNNNNNNNNNNNNNNNNNNNNNNNNNNNNNUAUAUAUUAAUGUAGCUUAUAUCUGUCUUUUCCAAUGUUUCAUUCAAAAUAAACCAGAAUUACAGAUCUCCCCUCUCUACCA
ensembl:lncRNA